rnacentral:rRNA from 1 species
UGCAGUCGAGCGAAUGAUGAAGAAGCUUGCUUCCUUCUGAUUUAGCGGCGGACGGGUGAGUAACACGUGGGCAACCUACCUAGUAGAUUGGGAUAACUCCGGGAAACCGGGGCUAAUACCGAAUAAUCCAUUUUGUCACAUGGCAAAAUGCUGAAAGGCGGUUUCGGCUGUCACUACUAGAUGGGCCCGCGGUGCAUUAGCUAGUUGGUGGGGUAACGGCCUACCAAGGCAACGAUGCAUAGCCGACCUGAGAGGGUGAUCGGCCACAUUGGGACUGAGACACGGCCCAAACUCCUACGGGAGGCAGCAGUAGGGAAUCUUCCACAAUGGACGAAAGUCUGAUGGAGCAACGCCGCGUGAGUGAUGAAGGUUUUCGGAUCGUAAAACUCUGUUGUAAGGGAAGAACAAGUACGUUAGUAACUGAACGUACCUUGACGGUACCUUAUUAGAAAGCCACGGCUAACUACGUGCCAGCAGCCGCGGUAAUACGUAGGUGGCAAGCGUUGUCCGGAUUUAUUGGGCGUAAAGCGCGCGCAGGUGGUUUCUUAAGUCUGAUGUGAAAGCCCACGGCUCAACCGUGGAGGGUCAUUGGAAACUGGGAGACUUGAGUGCAGAAGAGGAAAGUGGAAUUCCAAGUGUAGCGGUGAAAUGCGUAGAGAUUUGGAGGAACACCAGUGGCGAAGGCGACUUUCUGGUCUGUAACUGACACUGAGGCGCGAA